GACGAACGCUGGCGGCGUGCUUAACACAUGCAAGUCGAACGGUAAGGCUCCAGCUUGCUGGGGUACACGAGUGGCGAACGGGUGAGUAACACGUGGGUGACCUGCCCUGCACUUUGGGAUAAGCUUGGGAAACUGGGUCUAAUACCGGAUAGGACCGCACCGUGAGGGUGUGGUGGUAGGUUUUUUCGGUGUGGGAUGGGCCCGCGGCCUAUCAGCUUGUUGGUGGGGUAAUGGCCUACCAAGGCGGCGACGGGUAGCCGGCCUGAGAGGGUGGACGGCCACAUUGGGACUGAGACACGGCCCAGACUCCUACGGGAGGCAGCAGUGGGGAAUAUUGCACAAUGGGCGGAAGCCUGAUGCAGCGACGCCGCGUGGGGGAUGACGGCCUUCGGGUUGUAAACUCCUUUCACCAUCGACGAAGGGUUUCUGACGGUAGAUGGAGAAGAAGCACCGGCUAACUACGUG
rnacentral:rRNA from 1 species